rnacentral:rRNA from 1 species
GACGACGCUGGCGGCGUGGAUUAGGCAUGCAAGUCGAACGGUAUCAUCCUUUCGGGGAUGAGAGAGUGGCGAACGGGUGAGUAACACGUAGGUGAUCUACCCUCAAGGACGGGGACAACCCAGGGAAACUUGGGCUAAUACCGGAUGUGAGCUAUCGUGAGAUAGUUUGAAAGGUGGCUUCGGCUGCCGCUUGAGGAUGAGCCUGCGUCCUAUUAGCUAGUUGGUGAGGUAACGGCUCACCGAGGCAGUGAUAGGUAGGCGGCCUUAACGGGUGGUCGCCCACACUGGGAUUGAGAUACGGCCCAGACUCCUACGGGAGGCAGCAGUCGAGAAUAGUCUACAAUGGUCGAAAGACUGAUAGUGCGACGCCGCGUGAACGAAGAAGCCCUUCGGGGUGUAAAGUUCUUUUAUAUGUGAGCAGUGACAUCUAUAUUAAUAGUAUGGGUGUAGAGAUAUUAGCAUAUGAAUAAGCAACGGCUAACUCCGUG